rnacentral:rRNA from 1 species
UACAGAGGGGGGCAAGCGUUGUCCGGAAUCAUUGGGCGUAAAGCGCGCGUAGGCGGCCCGGUAAGUCCGCUGUAAAAGUCAAAGGCUCAACCUUUGAAUGUCAGUGGAUACUGCCGGGCUAGAGUCCGGAAGAGGCGAGUGGAACUCCUGGUGUAGCGGUGGAAUGCGCAGAUAUCAGGAAGAACACCGACGGCGAAGGCAGCUCGCUGGGACGGUACUGACGCUGAGGCGCGAAAGCGUGGGGAGCGAACAGG